AUUGAUCCUGUGGGAGGUUGCUGCUAUCAGGAUUCGACUAAGCCAUGCAAGUCAAGGGGGUAGCAAUACCACCGGCAGAAUGCUCAGUAACACGUCGAUAACCUACCUUUAAGUCUCUGAUACCCUCGGUAACCUGAGGUUAAACAGGGAUAGGAGAUUAGUUCUGGAAUGAUUUUUCUCUGAAAAGCAAUGCUUAAAGAUGGGUCGGCGGCCGAUUAGGCAGUUGGUGAGGUAACGGCUCACCAAACCUGAGAUCGGUAGGGGCCUUGAGAGAGGGAGCCCCGAGAGGGACACUGAGGAACUGGUCCCAGCCCUACGGGGUGCAGCAGGCGCGAAAACUCUACACUACACGAAAGUGUGAUAGGGGGAUCCUGAGUGCAUAUGCAUAGCAUAUGCUUUUUUCAAGAGUAAACAUCUUGGAGAAUAAGUGGUGGGUAAGACUGGUGCCAGCCGCCGCGGUAACACCAGCGCCACAAGUGGCAACCACUUUUAUUGGGCCUAAAGCGUUCGUAGCCCGUUUUAAUAAAUCCUUUGUGAAAUCGUUGCGCUCAACGUAACGACGAGCAGAAGACACUAUUAAACUUGGAACCGGGAGGAGUCAGAGGUAUUAUUGGGGGAGCGGUAAAAUGCUAUAAUCCCAGUAGGACCACCUGUGGCGAAGGCGUCUGACUAGAACGGAUUCGACGGUGAGGAACGAAAGCUAGGGGAGCAAACCGGAUUAGAUACCCGAGUAGUCCUAGCUGUAAACGCUGCGAGCAAGGUGUCACGUAUUCUUUUGGAGUACGUGGUGUCGAAACGAAGGUGUUAAGCUCGCCGCCUGGGUAGUACGGUCGCAAGGCUGAAACUUAAAGGAAUUGGCGGGGGAGCACUACAAGGGGUGCGGCGUGCGGUUCAAUCUAACUCAACGCAGAGAAUCUCACCAGAAGCGACGGCAGGAUGAAAGUCAGAUUAAAGGUUUUACUUGACGAGCCGAGAGGUAGUGCAUGGCCGUCGUCAGCUCGUGCCGUAAGGUGUCCUGUUAAGUCAGGUAACGAGCAAGACCCAUAUCUGCAAUUGCUAACAGGUUCUUCGGAAUGACUGAGCACAUUGCAGGGACUGCCCUGGAAACAGGGAGGAAGGUGUGGGCUACGAUAGGUCUGUAUGCUCCGAAUCUUCUGGGCUACACGCGCGCAACAAUGGUAAGGACAAUGGGAUGCAACUCCGAAAGGAGAAGCUAAACCUCGAAACCUUAUCUUAGUCUAGAUUGAGGGUUGUAACUCACCCUCAUGACAAUGGAAUCCCUAGUAAUCGGACCUCAUCACAGUCCGGUGAAUAUGUCCCUGCUCCUUGCGCACACCGCCCGUCAAACCAACCGAGCAGGGUUUAGGUAAGAUUCGGUUUUCUUGACCACAUCGAAUCUAAACUCAGUGAGGUGGGUUAAGUCGUCACAAGGUA
rnacentral:rRNA from 1 species